rnacentral:rRNA from 1 species
CCUACGGGGGGCAGCAGUGGGGAAUAUUGGACAAUGGGGGCAACCCUGAUCCAGCCAUGCCGCGUGUGUGAAGAAGGCCCUCGGGUUGUAAAGCACUUUCAGUGAGGAAGAACGCCUGGUGGUUAAUACCCAUCAGGAAAGACAUCACUCACAGAAGAAGCACCGGCUAACUCCGUGCCAGCAGCCGCGGUAAUACGGAGGGUGCGAGCGUUAAUCGGAAUUACUGGGCGUAAAGCGCGCGUAGGUGGCUUGAUAAGCCGGUUGUGAAAGCCCCGGGCUCAACCUGGGAACGGCAUCCGGAACUGUCAAGCUAGAGUGCAGGAGAGGAAGGUAGAAUUCCCGGUGUAGCGGUGAAAUGCGUAGAGAUCGGGAGGAAUACCAGUGGCGAAGGCGGCCUUCUGGACUGACACUGACACUGAGGUGCGAAAGCGUGGAUAGCAAACAGGAUUAGAUACCCUUGUAGUC